rnacentral:rRNA from 1 species
UACGGAGGGUGCAAGCGUUAUCCGGAUUCACUGGGUUUAAAGGGUGCGUAGGCGGGCAGGUAAGUCCGUGGUGAAAUCUCUGAGCUUAACUCAGAAACUGCCAUGGAUACUAUUUGUCUUGAAUGUUGUGGAGGUAAGCGGAAUAUGUCAUGUAGCGGUGAAAUGCUUAGAUAUGACAUAGAACACCAAUUGCGAAGGCGCUUCUACACAAAUAUUGACGCUGAGGCACGAAAGCGUGGGGAUCAAACAGG